rnacentral:tRNA from 1 species
UAGCUCAGUCAGUAGAGUAUGAGACUCUUAAUCUCAGGGUUGUGGGUUCGAGCCCCAU